UUAUGCAGCUGUACCCCAUUAAAAGGCACUUAUCAAAUUGCAGAAACUAAUCAGGAUUUGGCUGAAUUAGCAGUGAGGUGGGAGACCUCUAGGGAAAACCCAGGUGCUGCAGAUG
ensembl:rRNA 5S_rRNA 5S ribosomal RNA